UUUUUUUUUUUUUUUUCUCUCUCCUUUCCCCUCCCCUCCUCUCUCUCCGUCUCUCUCCCUCCCUCCUCUCCCUCCCUCCCUUCCCUUCCCUCCCUUCCCUCCCUCCCUUUCAUGCCACCCCUCGCAGCCGCCCAUUGUUGCUGCCGGGGCGCUGGCAGCCGGGGGGCAGUUUGUGGCACGGGCGGAGGAGCGGGAGAAGCCGCCGCCGCCGCCGGUUGCUAGGAGACCCAGGAGCUGCAAGGUGAACGCCGACCACCGCCGCCGCUCCCCGCCCGCCGUGUGGUGUCCCCGCCGCCGUGUGGUGUCCCCGCCGCCGUGUGGUGUCCCCCCGCCGUGUGUCCCCCCCCGCCGCCGCCACGGCCUGAGCGUGUAUCAGCCUGGAUGCAGUCGUCCUGUAAGGAAUCCGAAAUUUACAGCAGAAGAAUUGCACUUUAACACUGAAAAAGUUCUUCCUCAUCUGAACUGUCAUUCAAAAGGCAGGAUGAAAGUAGCCGAAAAGGUUUUCUAUCAUAUUGUCUGCAGGCCUCCUAGAAGAUUCUUCUGAACCUUGGGCACAUCAUACCCUGCUGCCUUGUGAACGGUCUCCUUCCUGAUGUCUGUUGAGCAGGCAGACGUUUCAUGUGGA
rnacentral:lncRNA from 1 species